rnacentral:misc_RNA from 1 species
GUUAGGGCCAAGGUUUCAAGAUAUCAUAUUCAGCGGCUUGGAAUUCAUGUUGAAGUGGUUUAUGAUUUAAAUCAAGCUUUAUGUAGCAUAAGCAAUGAGAAUGCAGUUGUCAACAUGGUCCUUAUUGAACAGGAAGUUUGGGAUAGGGAUUCAAGUGUUUCAGCUCUAUUUGUCAGUACUAUAAUGAAAAUUGAUCGCGGUGUUUCUCCAAAACUAUUCCUUCUGGCUAAUUCUAUCAGUUCUUCCAAAACAAAUACUGCAACUUCUGGUGUUUAUACCCUAAGUGCCAUCAUGAAGCCCCUUAGGGCAAGUAUGCUGGCUGCAUCGUUGCAACGAGCAAUGGGUGUUGGGAACAAGGGGAAUCCAUGCAAUGGGGAACUCUCCAAUCUUCUUCUUGGGAGAAAAAUUCUUAUUGUAGAUGACAAUGGUGUGAACCUCAAAGUAGCUGCUGGUGCUUUGAAAAAGUAUGGAGCUGAUGUGGUCUGCGCAGAUGGUGGGGAGAAGGCAAUCAAAUUGCUUACCCCACCCCACCAGUUUGAUGCCUGUUUUAUGGAUAUCCAGAUGCCAGAAAUGGAUGGGUUUGAAGCUACCAGGAAAGUUCGUGAUAAAGAACGCAAUUUCAACAAUUCUAUUCAAAAUGGAGAUGCUUUAGUUGGAGCCUAUGAAAAUCUUCCUAAUUGGCAUGUUCCCGUUUUAGCAAUGACUGCAGAUGUAAUCCAAGC